GGCGGGACCGCCAUGGCCGUUUUCCAGAAUAUCCUCUGACGCCGUAAACGUCAGGUGGGGGCCAUAUGCUUUGGACCAGGGUCCUGACAGGGACAGCCCCCUAGGAUGAUGAAUCGCCUCAGGGAUGUUCCGUGGCUCGUACCGGGCAGUGCCCG
rnacentral:sRNA from 1 species